ACUUCCGCUUCCGCUUUCCGGAGGAAGGAGAGGCCCGGGGAGCCCUGGGCCUGCUGCUGUUCGUGAUUGGCUUCUACUCUCCAGGGGGCUGAGACCGCGCCUCUCCCCAGCGGGCUGUGGGCGGAGCGAGUGGAGUCUGGCGCUCCGGUGCCGCACCGGGAAGCUGACCAUAGAGAGCGGGCUGUUUCGAGCGCGGGAGGAUACGCGACAUCAGCGGUGAAGUCGAGGUGUUCUCAGCCCCAGCUGCGUCCACAGCUGCAGCAAGAAGGCUGCAGUCAGCCGCCGCCUUCCAGAUGCGUAGGCCAGCCCACGGCAUCCCUCUCCUCGCCCCACUGUACCCACGCAGCAUAGUUCACCUGGCUGAGGCUCCCCCCCAGGACCGGAACGCUGAGCAGAGCCCUCCAGAAACUUCUCGUUCUCACGCGCCCGCGGGAGCUAGCGGUUCCAACCUUCCUUAAGGAGGGUUUUUGCUCUAGAAAGGGUCAGCGCCACCUACUGGCCAGUCCCCUGUCAGCUCUUAACACUUAUCCUACCCACCCUUGAAAUCCACUCGGUGGUAGCAAUAUUUCAAAGCCCAAGAAGAUACUUUUCUCGUGUUUCUAUUAUAUUCCUGUAUAUGUAAUUUUUAGACUCUCACAUAAGCUAAUGCUUAUUUA
rnacentral:lncRNA from 1 species